GAGGUGGAGAGAGGAGGAACAGGAGAAAUGACUUUAAACAACAUGGCGGCCGUUUGUACGUCAGUGAUAUCAUGAUGAUGUCACUGGUUCAGAUGAUGAAGUCAGUAUUUGAUUGUUUUAUCAGUUUUUUAUCUUUGUAUCUUUGUCUGGACAUUAACAGGAAGUGAUGAAGGAACUCGUUCAGUGAAAGAUGAAGAUGAAAAUGAGGAUGAUGAUGAAGAUGAUGAUGGUGAAGAUGAAGAUGAAGAUGAUGAUGGUGAAGAUGAAGAUGAUGAAGAUGAUGGUGAAGAUGAUGAUGAUGAUGAUGAAGAUGAAGAUGAAGAUGAAGAUGAUGAUGGUGAAGAUGAAGAUGAAGAUGAAGAUGAUGAUGGUGAAGAUGAUGAUGAUGAAGAUGAAGAUGAAGAUGAAGAUGAUGAUGGUGAAGAUGAAGAUGAUGAUGAAGAUGAUGAUGAUGAUGAUGAUGAUGAUGAAGAUGAUGAAGCUAUGGUUCUCUGCCUCAGGUAAAGCCGUCUCAGUGAUUUCUCAUUAAACAGCUGAAGGUCGAAACAGUGACGAGGCCUCAGGCUCAUUGAUCAGCUGAUUGAUUAUUGGAAACAAACUGUUUCAUCAGAGAAUCAAAUUCAGAGUUUAACCUGAUGUUUAUGUUGUGACCUGUUGCUGUUUGUCUGUCCAUUCAUUUCAGGUGUGUAGGUGGGCGGAGCCUCAGAGACCCCCCAACCCCCACCUCCCUCAGAUAUGAGGGUCUCAGGUGGUCUGGACUCUGACAGCCUGCAGCUGAUCUGAUCUCAGGUGUUCACAGGAAGUGAAUCAUCUGCUGCUGCAGGCACACACACACACACACACACACACACACACACACACACACACACACACACACACACACACACACACACACACACAGUUCAACUGACAGAAAUAAAUUGAUGUCAGUUUGUUUUUGUCUCCUUCAGUCUCUCAACAGAACAAAGACAAACAUAAAACUCUGCACCAGGACCAGCUCCUGGACCUGGACCAGCUCCUGGACCUCAGAUCUAGGUCUGGUUCUGGUUCUAGAUCUGGUUCUGUCAUCACCUCAAUUCGAUUCAGUAUAUUUUAUUAAUCAGUUUCCGUGUCAAUCAGCUGAUCAGCCGGCAUCUGGUCAGAGAGCAUGCUGGGAAAUGUGUCUGGUAGUUUUUUAAGUGUCGCCUCGGCGUGUCUGUGUGAAGUGUUUCCUGUGUUGACCCCAAAAAACACAACAGAAGGAUGAAGGUUUUUACAGAGUCCUGCAGGAACAAGAACAGGAACAAGAAGAAGCCCGGUCUGGAGCCACACAGAUUUGGCUUCAUGUUUACCAGAGGUCUGAACUAUGAAGGGAGUUGAACCUCCUCUGGUUUAACUCAGGUUCUCAGGUAAAGUCGGGGUUGACAAACCCUGACUGCCUCGAUCUGUGUUAAACGCUACGACGGUGGUUCAGAUGUGGGUCAGUUGAGUCGGUGUUAACUUAAUCAGAGUUAGUGCGUGUUGAUUAAAGGGGCGUGCACCGUAUCUCUCAGAUGAAGAGCGCACGUUAAUUCUGUGGGUUUAGAGGAAUUUAAAGAGACUCUAACGACACAAUGUCAAACCAACAAAGACAGAGAGACUGGUCACAUGUUCUCUGGAUUCUUCAUCUGUAAUAUGAGAUGGAAGGACACAGAACAUAUGUGAUCAUUUCUCAGAUACUUGGAUUACAGUCAACACGUGGGUCACAUGUCUGAGAAU